CAAAGUGAUCAGGGUGACGAGUAGAGGUGAAAUCCGGAUGUCUGUCUGUCCGUCCGUCCGUCUGUGCAAGCUGUAACUUGAGUAAAAAUUGAGAUAUCAUGAUGAAACUUGGUACACGUAUUUCUUGGCUCCAUAAGAAGGUUAAGUUCGAAGAUGGGCAAAAUCGGCCCACUGCCACGCCCACAAAAUGGCGGAAACCAAAAACCUAUAAAGUGUCAUAACUAAGCCAUAAAUAAAGAUAUUAAAGUGAAAUUUGGCACAAAGGAUCACAUUAGGGAGGAGCAUAUUUGGAAGUAAUUUUUUUGGAAAAGUGGGCGUGGCCCCGCCCCCUAUUAAGUUUUUUGUACAUAUCUCGGAAACUACUAUAGCUACGUCAACCAAACUGUAUAGAGUCGUUUCCUUCCGGCAUUU